rnacentral:rRNA from 1 species
GUCUAUGGCCAUACCACCCUGAAUGCGCCUGAUCUCGUCUGAUCUCGGAAGCUAAGCAGUGUCGGGCCUGGUUAGUACUUGGAUGGGAGAAGAGAAGAGAAGAGAAGAAAAAAAGAAA